GGCGGCAUAGCCAAGUGGUAAGGCCAAGGUCUGCAAAACCUUUAUUCACCGGUUCAAAUCCGGUUGCCGCCUUCA
rnacentral:tRNA from 2 species